rnacentral:rRNA from 1 species
AGUUGAACUUGUGCUUCAUACGGGUAGUACAACUACAAUUGUGGAUUGUACAUUACNNNAUGUAUGUAAGCGUAUUAUCGGUGGAGUUCUAAUAUAUAUUGGUCAUGUACCUUUAUGUAUACCUCCUAUAUAAACCUGCCUCAGUGCUCUUCAUCGAGUGCUGUUGUGGGCCGAUACAGUUACUUUGAACAAAUUAGAGUGCUUAAAGCAGGCUCCAAAUGCCUGAAUAUUUUGUGCAUGGAAUAAUGAAAUAAGACUUCUGAUCUACUUUCAUUGGUUUUUAGAUCAAGAGGUAAUGAUUAAUAGAAGCAGUUUGGGGGCAUUAGUAUUACGACGCGAGAGGUGAAAUUCUUGGACCGUCGUAAGACUAACUAAGCUGAAA